rnacentral:rRNA from 1 species
AACGAAUUUUUUCGUGGCAAACGGGUGAGGAAUGCGUAAAAGACUCUGCCUCUUAGACUAGAAUACACAUAUUUGGAAGUGUAACAACUUUUGAAAAAAAAUAUAAUAUUUGUGUUAAUACUGGAUAAUUUUAUAAAAAGGUCAUUUUUAUGGGAGACUGCUAAGAGAUGAAUUUACGUAAGAUUAGGUAGUUGGUGUUGUUAGCAGCUCACCAAGCCGAUGAUCUUUAGUUGGUCUGAGAGGAUGAUCAACCACACUGGAACUGAGACAAGGUCCAGGCUAAGUUUUUGGCCAGCAGUGAGGAAUAUUGGACAAUGAACGAAAGUUUGAUCCAGCAAUACUAUGUGAAUGAUGACGGCUGAUUUAUAGAAACAAUAUUUUAUUUACAAAAGGUAAUUUGAUUAAAGUAUUGAUUCUGGUUGUAAAAUUCUUUCGUUGAAAAUGAUAGUGACAUUAUUCAAAGAAGUUUUAGUCCCGGCUAAUCUCGUG